rnacentral:RNase_P_RNA from 1 species
UUUGGUAUGAGGAAAGUCCGGACACCAUAGGGCAAGGGUGCUAGAUAACGUCUAGUGGGAGUGAUCCUAAGGAAAGUGCAACAGAAAAUAACCGCCGAUUUUAUCGGUAAGGGUGAAAACGUGAGGUAAGAGCUUACGGAUCCGUAUGGAGACAUAUGGAUAGUGUAAACCCCACUCGGUGCAACACCAGAUGAGAAAGGUUAAGGUGGCCCGCCAUCUUUCGUGGUUGGUGGCUAGAGAUUAGUAGCAAUACUAGUUCAAGAUAAAUGACUAUUUAAAACAGAAUCCGGCUUACGA